UACGUAGGGUGCAAGCGUUAAUCGGAAUACUGGGCGUAAAGCGUGCGCAGGCGGCUUUGCAAGACAGAUGUGAAAUCCCCGGGCUCAACCCUGGGAACUGCAUUUGUGACUGCAAGGCUGGAGUACGGUAGAGGGGGGAUGGAAUUCCGCGUGUAGCAGUGAAAUGCGUAGAUAUGCGGAGGAACACCGAUGGCGAAGGCAAUCCCCUGGACCUGUACUGACGCUCAUGCACGAAAGCGUGGGGAGCAAACAGG
rnacentral:rRNA from 1 species